GAUGAACGCUGGCGGCGUGCUUAAUACAUGCAAGUCGAACGGAGGUUGUAGCAAUACUUCCUCAGUGGCGAACGGGUGAGUAACGCGUUGGUGACCUGCCUCGAAGUUGGGGAUAACAGUCCGAAAGGAUUGCUAAUACAGAAUGUGAUCAGUGGGAUUAGACACCCGCUGAUGAAAGGCGAAAGUCGCUUCGAGAGGGGCCUGCGUCCCAUCAGCUAGUUGGUAGGGUAAUGGCCUACCAAGGCUAUGACGGGUAGGGGACCUGAGAGGGUGGCCCCCCACAAUGGAACUGAAACACGGUCCAUACACCUACGGGUGGCAG
rnacentral:rRNA from 1 species